GAUAAUGAAAACUGCAUCAUUGUCAUUUACGAAAACAUGCACAAUGGAAAUGAUGUCUUGUCAGAGUCCGUAACCGUUUAGCAAGCCAGUUCGCUAUCUCAAGGCAACCACCAAUCGCAGAAGCUAGCUAACGUUAUAGCUAGCGAACGUCGGUGCACUGCUUUCUAAACUGUCACUGCCCGAUGUUCACCAGAUGCAUAUGCGUUUUGUUUUGCGGGAUGUCUAGUCCGCAUUUUCCGUACUUGUCGCACAUGUGUUUCGCGUUUCAACUAGUUAAAAGUUAGCUAGUUGGAGUCUGUAUUUCCGUUUGUACCACCACACCGUAAAGCAACGCACGAGAUUUAAAUAUUGAACGCAUGUGGUACACAGAACGCACCGCAGCCUAGUGCGGACUUCUCCAUUGACAAUGAAUGACUUCCGCCUUAAAGCAAAUACAUCGUUGCAUCUCAAGGUUACGUAGCACAUCCGCAUGUAACUUGACCAUAUGUCUCAAAGGAAAUGUCAAGAAUGUUUUGCUUAUUUUGAACGUCCUGGUUGAAAACCGGUUUCUCUACGCUAGCCUCUUCGCUUGUGGUCUCCGGAGCGAAGAGGCUAGCUAAUUGUCUUAAACGACGCAGUACAUUUGAGUACUACAGAUUAAUCGCUGCCGUGGUAUACCUACCUAGUCCCGGCUGUGGCGAUGCUUUCCAUUGUCUGCACAGCAUAGCCACGCACAUUUACAUAGACAAGAUUUCGACCAGCUGAAGGACCAACCCUACAGAGAACCAGUGGAGUGGAGUGUCUCCCUGGGCACGCGUCGUGUGAUGGAGGCAGUGAGGGAUGGGCCUAAGAGCUCCCUGAGCUCUGGGAAAAUGGUGGCUCUGGCAGCGGGGCUGUCUGUAGGAGCGACGGUGGGAUACAUCGUCUACCGACAAAUCAGAAGCACCAGCUCGCCGAUGGCCAACACAGAACAGUCCAGGAUGUCAGUACCUCUGGAGGUGUACAGGAACAUUACCAAGUACCAGACCUCCUUCCUGGACCUGGUGAUGCAAAAGUCCGGAGCCCACGUGAGGGUGCUCUCUGAGUCUUCGCAGGCAGGGGAGGGGGAGCAGAGUUCCCAGACUACAGUGUGUUUCCUGCUGCAGGGCUCACCUCAGCAGGUGCUGCUGGCCAAGUGUGCUCUGGAGAACCUGGCCACAGACUGUGAGACCACCACUGACGUCAUGGAGGUGCCCCAGACUGCCUUCGGACGCAUCAUAGGACGUGGAGGGGAGUCUCUGAAGCUCAUCACCAGGACAACAGGCGCCAGAGUCGUGUGUCCCAGGGAGAGGGGGCGGGGCCUAGAGGAGAAGGGCAAGGUGUCAGUCACGGGGACAAGACUGGAGGUCAGACAGGCCAAGGAGUUGAUCCUGGAAAAGGUAUUCGAGGACGAGGCAGUGAGGAGGAGGAUUACCCAGUCCUCCGCCCUGCGCCAGAAACGAAGAACCUUCGAGCCCCAGGGUCAAAGGUCAGAGGAGCUGAAGCCAGAGGAGGCUCCACUGUCUCUCCGGGUGGAGGAAGGGCGGCUAGUCCAUGCUAACGGUGUCCAGACUGCCGUGGGAGACCCUGGCCACGCUACAGGAGAGGAGGUACAGCUGGCUAGAGAGGCACGAGAGGAGGAGGAGGAGGAUGAGGAUAUUGUGUCGCCUGACUCCCUAUCAGAGGUUUCCAAAUUUGAAAUCCCCAGUCCAGACCUGAGCUUCCAGCCAGAUGAGCACCUGGAGGUGUAUGUGUCAGCAUCAGAGAACCCCCACCACUUCUGGAUCCAGAUCCUGGGGGUCCGCUCCCUCCAGCUGGACAAACUUACUGCAGAGAUGAGCCGCUUCUAUAGCAACGGAACCCUGCAGGAGCAGCGAGUGGAGACCAUCGUGGUGGGGGACAUCGUGGCUGCUCCGUACCGGGACUAUGGCACCUGGAACAGGGCGAGGGUCCUGGGGGUGAUGGGCUCUGGCUUGGUGGACCUCUAUUAUGUUGACUUUGGAGACAAUGGAGAACUACCCAGGGACAGUCUACGGAGUAUGAGGAGUGACUUCCUCAGCCUACCAUUCCAAGCCAUCGAGUGCAGCUUAGCUGGAGUCAACCCGGCAGGCGAGGUGUGGAGCGAUGAAGCCCUGGACGACUUUGACCGCCUGACGUAUGUUGCCGAGUGGAGACCCCUGCUGGCCAAACUGUGCAGCUACACCCACUCUGAGGUCUCCUCCUGGCCCAGUGUACAGCUUUACGACAACACAGAGGGCAAGGCUGUGGAUAUAGGAGAUGUGUUGGUGAGUCUGGGCCAUGCUGUGCUUAGCCAGGAUAAUGGGAACGGGAGUGGCGACAGGGACGACCCUGGAACGCUACAGAGGAUGCUGGAUGAUGUGACGGGAGCCACCUCGGAGCUAAGCAUGUCCUGCAUCAGCUUAUCAGGUACAGACCAUCAGAAUGAAGAGUGGGUAUUAGGCCUGGUCACACCAUCAUCCUCAGGCUCUCUGAGUUCUCUGGAGCUGCAGCGGGCUGGCGUUGACGACAGCCCCUCCUCUGGGUUUGGCUUUGGGCUGACCCACUCCACCCCAGCCCAGCGAGCCCUGGUGGACCUGGUCUCCCACAUCCUGGAGUCCCCCAGCCCCUCUGAACACCCCCUCUCCCCAGACCACCAGGUCCCGGGCCAGCGCUAUCACACGCUCAACCGAACCACCAACCUCUACAGCUUCUCGGUGCCCCAGCUGCAGCUCACACACACACUUCCUGUGUCCUCCUGUACCACCUCUUCGUCUACUUCCUCGUCGCCUCUGGAGGUCGUGACCUCUGCGCUGGGUUCGGUUACGCUGAGUGACAAUGUCUUCCUGGAGGGGUCCAGUUAUGAUGGGGAUGAGGAAUGUGACGUAACCUCGUCUUCUGGAGAAGUGGAGACAACUGGGGGAAACUCAACUUGGUCGUCGAAUAGAGGUGACAGUCUGGAGGAGGAAGCGGACGAGGAGCGUAGCGGUGAGGGAGCCAUCAGCAUCGGUUUGACUCCUACCUCCCCCACACAGAAGCAGGCGUGUCUGGGAGAGGUCAGGCGUGGUGGUGGUGGCACUGAAAUGCCUAGUGUGGUUGUGGUUGGCAGUAGUAGUUUCAGUGGGUGUAGCAGCAGUGGGAGUGAUAUUAUCUAUAUGGGGUUAGUGGAGCCUGCUUGGGAGAAGGUUCAGGCUGUAUCCUGCCUGAAGGAUGAUGGUGGCAACAGACAAGACUCCCAGAGAAAGAGACAAGCAAGAAGCCAGCCACUCCACUUCUCUGAGGAGGCAAUGGACCUGGUGAAUACCCUGGAAAGCCAAGCUGGAAUGGAUGAGGAGACUGAGGAACAGAGAAACCGACUGGACGAACACAAGAUGAAGGAAGUGAAGAGUCCAUUUGGGAAGGAGGCAGGGUCUGAACAGAGGACAGAACCUUCAGUGGGAUUCCAUUCACCAGAGGAGGUUGGGACAGAGCGUGAAAGAUUGGGUAUUGCAGAGCUGCCACCGCAUCAGAGGAGUGGUCUGCAAACCACAGAGAAAUUCAAUGAAGAGCCCAACUGCACUGAAGCAGAUGACUGGAGAGCAAGCCCUCGGGAAUUAUGACCUAUGAAGAAGUCUAUCCCAAACAGAGAAGUGGCCUCAAUCUCAGGAAGCGUUGAUGAUGUUCUAGAGGACGAGUUCGUCUGAGACCGAAGAGACAGACAUGUCAAAUUUAUUUCAGCA